ensembl:lncRNA
GUGAGUGGGCCUGAGAGAGCUGGUGGGAGGAACCCUAGCUCCACAAGGACGGUGGCUCAUCGGGUAGAGAGUGUACCGUUUAAGGCUCAGUCCUGAUCACCACCCUGGUUCUAUUGCUGCCCGUGGUCCUUUGCUGCAUGUCCUCCCAUACCUUCCUGUCCAUCUCACUCUAUCAUAAACUACGCAAAUCACUCGUGUGCACCCAACUGCGUGGCAGAGGUUGUGACCUUUGACCGAGAGGACAAGAUCAUCAUCAUCUCCAGUCGCCGGAUCCCCAAAGGAGAAGAGUUGACCUACGACUAUCAGUUCGACUUCGAAGACGAUCAGCACAAGAUCCCCUGCCAUUGCGGAGCCUGGAAUUGCCGAAAGUGGAUGAAUUGACGGGGGAGGAGCGAGACGAAGAUAGAGGGAGAGCAGUGCACUCUCAUUGGUGCCAGGACACUGCUGCGCCAAAGCCUUGGAAUAGCCAGAGCAUAAGCUGUUGUGAGAGACAUGGUGGUACCCAAGUGUUGACACUCGUAGCCAAAGGUUUGGAAAGCAUUAACUGUUGAAGCAACCGACCACCUCCACUAACACAAGCCUGAUGCUGGGACGCUCAGCUGGGACUAGGAGGACGAGCCCUUCCUCUGCCAAACCCAGAUCCCAACCCACAACCCCCUCCUGACUCCACCCUGCACCUUUCUACUGCUCAAUCUCAAUAAGCUCUUGAAAAUCGCUGCAAGAAAAUCCUCAAUAUUUACCAAAUGACUCUGACCCUACUGUUCUGUCUCUCAAUACUAGUAGUGCGAAGCUCGGUCAGACUGCUGGAAGUUACACGACAAAAAGCCAUCUUCAAGUACUAAGAAUGAACUAAUGUUUUUUUUAUGUUUUAAGUCGGACCUAUUCCCCCUUACCGCCUCCCCUCUCCUUCCAACUCCUGGGAUUAUUGAAAUGAAUAAAACAUGAGACACUUUUCCCAUCAAGACAUCAAUGAAGACACCGUGGAUAUUGGCUAGAGAAUCCUGUUGUGGCUCUCUGUAGAGCUGCAUGCGAUCGAUGGAUAAGAUGUAAGUUGAUAUGCUAUUGAUAUACUAUUGACCCGUUUGGAGUCUAACGGUGGGUUAGUUUGGACCCAGUCUACCUCAUCCAUUUUAUUGGGAAGUGACUGCUUUGUAUAAAACUAAACAAACUGUUAACUGCUACUGUGGGAGGGGAGGGGCGGGUCAGAGGGCCUCUCGGACAAGCAGGGAAACUAUAGCAGCCGGUUUGCUCUUAUCUACUCUAUGCUGAUGAUGACUAUUUACAAUAAUGAGCCAACAUAUUAUCCAUGAAUUAUUUAUACAGAGAAAUUAUAUGACCGUUUUGAUAAGAUUAUUGCAUUAAGUUCACAAUCAAGCAAGCUUUCAGGGGUCCUAUAUGCUACCAGAUAGACCUGUCUUUUCAUCUUGAAUUUGUAUUUUUUUUUCUUUUCUUUUCCACAACCUGCUCUUUCUAUUUAUGCAUCGGACAUCCAGGCUUUGAGGUGUGAAAGCACAAUGACACCCACCUUACUAUGAGUUGCUUCCACGUGGAGUUAUGGGUGUAAGCGGGUGGGCCCCUCAGUUUCAGGGUCAUGCUCCGUCUUACCUUACAGACACAGACACAGACACACACACACACACAUACACAACCCCCAUCCCGCCCCAAAUGAAGGAAAUGCGUGCUGGUGGCUUCACCCGCAGAUCCUCCACUUGUGUCCCGCUCCAUUCAUGUUUUAGUUGUGUUCCAGUAAUUCCACAGCCUCUCCACUCCUCCACCUGAGACCUGGCCCACCUCGCUCUCUCUACCACAGCGUGGACUGUUGUACAACUUUACUGUAGAGAGUCUUCUCUGCCGGGGCCGAGCGUGUGUCUGCGUUCCUUUGUGCUUUUUUCUAGUGGUGGUCGAGUCUUCUUGAGGUCGGCAGCUGGCAGUGGAAGACUCGUUUUAAAAAGGGCAUUUGUUGUCAGUUCUUUGUAUAAAAAAAAAAAGAUGUAAAAAUGAACGACAAAAUUAAAUAUUUAAGUAAGGGAGCUGUGCUGAAACUCCCGAUAUCCCAUGUUAUGCGGUAUCCUCUUCCCCUUAACCUAAGACCUCACAGAAUUAAAAAUGCAAGUGUGUGUGUGUCUGUGUGUGUGUGUGCGCGCGUGUGUGUGUGUGUGUGUGAGAAACCCACAGUAGGGGACAGCAAACUUUAUCCAAAACAUUUUUAAUCAAUAAAUUCAAGUGUAGAGAAAUAAAAAUUGAUGUAAAUUUCAACCACUGGAUAUCAUUUUAUCAUGAAGAUAAAGAUGUAUGUAUAUAAAUAUAUGUAAAAUGGCAAACUAAUAUCUUUAUGUUUAUGAACCAGAGUGUUUUUUGCAUUUACCUGUUUUUUCUAUUAGUGAUUUUUAAGCUUUCAAAGACGAGUUUGGUUUUCUCCAGUCAAUUGGAAUGAGAAGCCAAAGUAAUUAGGACGUUGUUUGCUAACGGAUCCGCGUGGAGAAUCAUGAUGAUUAGAUGUAAAAUCACUUGCAUAAAAGCAGUACAAUGGUGCAUAGCAUUUGUGUAUUUAUGUAAUGUUCUCGUUUUGUUUUUAUUUAUGCUACUGCUUGUUGAUUACCAAAACUUUUCCCUUAGUUGGUCUCAAUUGGAUAAGUAUAAUCUAUGAAUGGAAAAAUUCAAGUUCCUUAGGGUAGUACUGUUUUAGUGUUUUUGCUUUUUCUAUUUUCCAAUUUUCAGAUCCUCCCUAUAGAAGUGAAUGUGUUGAGAUAUAUAUAUAUAUAUCGUGAAAUGUUUGCUUGGCCUAAUGUAUGUUAUGUUAUACUCAAAUUUAAUCCCGUAUUUACCAGAUAAUGGAUUGCACUCUCAGUAUGAACAGAGUACUUCUCUAAAGUGGUAGAUCAUGAGGCAGUGAUAUAUAUAUAUAAAUAUAUUUUGGUAUGUUUCUACUCGAAGGGAAGACAUUCAAUACAAUGCCCCUCACUGGAUUUUAGGCUCAAUGAUUUUUACCUUCUCUGAAUUCUUAAUUUAAAUUCUCUGCGUAUCUUAUAAUUUAAGAUUGCUCAAAUUGUUUGUUUUUUAAACCUAAACAACUUUUUAAAAAAAGGUGUGCAUCUGUACAGCAGAGACUUCUAGGGACGAUGAAUAAAUGAUCAUUUUUAUUAUAUGUGGCAUGUUUUGUAUGGAUAUUAUUUUCAACUGUAAAUAUCUUUUGAUGAAGCCAGAGGAUGCAUCUUUAUAUACAGCUUUCCCCACCCCCUUUCCCAACAUCUAAUUUCCUGUUUGCUUUUAUUUCUUGUAAAAGGAAAAUAAAAUGCAUUUUAAAUAUUU